CAGUGUCCCAAAUGAGACAGACCCUGUCCUGGAUUCACUCCCCAUCAAUUCAGAGGAAUUGGAGAAAGAAAUGACCCAAAGUCCUGACUGUCCUCGUACAACUUCUUCAGCUGGCAACACAGAACAGUGUCAAAAACAUCACUUGAUGUGCACAACAGUAUCCUCUUUGGAGAAGUGUACUCAGUGUUUUGGACCUUGUUCUUCAUUCAAGUGGGUUGGCUACCAGUGCAAAGGUAAGAUAUUUAGUUAAUUUGUACUGUGAAUUAAUUAAUUUUAAUAGGAUGUAUGUCUUUGUUGAACAAAUUACAGUGUCAGA